rnacentral:rRNA from 1 species
AUACGGAGGAUGCGAGCGUUAUCCGGAUUUAUUGGGUUUAAAGGGUGCGCAGGCGGCUUCUUAAGUCAGCGGUAAAAUUUCCGGGCUCAACCCGGUCGUGCCGUUGAAACUGGGAAGCUUGAGUGCAGAUGAAGUGGGCGGAAUUUGUAGUGUAGCGGUGAAAUGCAUAGAUAUUACAAGGAACUCCGAUUGCGCAGGCAGCUCACUAAACUGUAACUGACGCUCAAGCACGAAAGCGUGGGUAUCAAACAGGAUUAGAUACCCUGGUAGUCCACGCAGUAAACGAUGAUUACUCGCUGUUUGCGAUAUACAGUAAGCGGCUUAGCGAAAGCGUUAAGUAAUCCACCUGGGGAGUACGCCGGCAACGGUGAA